rnacentral:rRNA from 1 species
GAUGAACGCUGGCGGCGUGCCUAAUACAUGCAAGUCGAGCGAACAGACGAGGAGCUUGCUCCUCUGACGUUAGCGGCGGACGGGUGAGUAACACGUGGAUAACCUACCUAUAAGACUGGGAUAACUUCGGGAAACCGGAGCUAAUACCGGAUAAUAUAUUGAACCGCAUGAUUCAAUAGUGAAAGACGGUUUUGCUGUCACUUAUAGAUGGAUCCGCGCCGCAUUAGCUAGUUGCUAAGGCAACGGCUUACCAAGGCAACGAUGCGUAGCCGACCUGAGAGGGUGAUCGGCCACACUGGAACUGAGACACGGUCCAGACUCCUACGGGAGGCAGCAGUAGGGAAUCUUCCGCAAUGGGCGAAAGCUUGACGGAGCAACGCCGCGUGAGUGAUGAAGGUCUUCGGAUCGUAAAACUCUGUUAUUAGGGAAGAACAAAUGUGUAAGUAACUAUGCACGUCUUGACGGUACCUAAUCAGAAAGCCACGGCUAACUACGUG